UACGUAGGGUGCAAGCGUUAAUCGGAAUUACUGGGCGUAAAGCGUGCGCAGGCGGUUUUGUAAGUCUGACGUGAAAUCCCCGGGCUCAACCUGGGAAUUGCGUUGGAGACUGCAAGGCUAGAAUCUGGCAGAGGGGGGUAGAAUUCCACGUGUAGCAGUGAAAUGCGUAGAGAUGUGGAGGAACACCGAUAGCGAAGGCAGCCCCCUGGGUCAAGAUUGACGCUCAUGCACGAAAGCGUGGGGAGCAAACAGG
rnacentral:rRNA from 1 species